UACAGAGGAGCCAAGCGUUGUCCGGAUUGACUGGGCGUAAAGCGCACGCAGGCGGACGCGCGCGUGGGGUGUGAAAUCUGGCCGCUUAACGGCCAGGCGCCAUCCCAUACGGCGCGUCUGGAGUGAUGCAGAGGUCGAUGGAAUUGCCGGUGUAGUGGUGAAAUGCGCAGAUACCAGGAGGAACACCGGUGGCGAAGGCGGGUCUCUGGGCAACAACUGACGCUGAGGAGCGAAAGCGUGGGGAGCGAACAGG
rnacentral:rRNA from 1 species